rnacentral:rRNA from 1 species
GACGAACGCUGGCGGCGUGCUUAACACAUGCAAGUCGAGCGGUAAGGCCUUUCGGGGUACACGAGCGGCGAACGGGUGAGUAACACGUGGGUGAUCUGCCCUGCACUUCGGGAUAAGCCUGGGAAACUGGGUCUAAUACCGGAUAUGACCUCCUAUCGCAUGGUGGGUGGUGGAAAGAUUUAUCGGUGCAGGAUGGGCCCGCGGCCUAUCAGCUUGUUGGUGGGGUAAUGGCCUACCAAGGCGACGACGGGUAGCCGACCUGAGAGGGUGACCGGCCACACUGGGACUGAGACACGGAGCAGACUCCUACGGGAGGCAGCAGUGGGGAAUCUUGCACAAUGGGCGAAAGCCUGAUGCAGCGACGCCGCGUGAGGGAUGACGGCCUUCGGGUUGUAAACCUCUUUCAGCAGGGACGAAGCGAAAGUGACGGUACCUGCAGAAGAAGCACCGGCUAACUACGUG